rnacentral:rRNA from 1 species
GUGGGGAAUAUUGCACAAUGGGCGAAAGCCUGAUGCAGCAACGCCGCGUGAGGGACGACGGCCUUCGGGUUGUAAACCUCUUUUAGUAGGGAAGAAGCGAAAGUGACGGUACCUGCAGAAAAAGCACCGGCUAACUACGUGCCAGCAGCCGCGGUAAUACGUAGGGUGCAAGCGUUAUCCGGAAUUAUUGGGCGUAAAGAGCUCGUAGGCGGUCUGUCGCGUCUGCUGUGAAAACUGGAGGCUCAACCUCCAGCCUGCAGUGGGUACGGGCAGACUAGAGUGCGGUAGGGGAGAUUGGAAUUCCUGGUGUAGCGGUGGAAUGCGCAGAUAUCAGGAGGAACACCGAUGGCGAAGGCAGAUCUCUGGGCCGUAACCGACGCUGAGGAGCGAAAGCGUGGGGAGCGAACAGGAUUAGAAACCCCAGUAGUCC